AUUGAACGCUGGCGGUAUGCUUAAGACAUGCAAGUCGAACGGUAACAGGUUAAGCUGACGAGUGGCGGACGAGUGAGUAACGCGUGGGAAUCUACCUUGUAGUGGGGGAUAAGCCAGGGAAACUUGGACUAAUACCGCAUACGCCCUAAGGGGAAAGGCGCAAGUCGCUAUAAGAUGAGCCCGCGUCUGAUUAGGUAGUUGGUGGGGUAAAGGCCUACCAAGCCGACGAUCAGUAGCUGGUCUGAGAGGAUGAUCAGCCACGUCGGGACUGAGACACGGCCCGGACUCCUACGGGAGGCAGCAGUCGGGAAUAUUGGACAAUGGGGGAAACCCUGAUCCAGCAAUACCGCGUGUGUGAAGAAGGCCUGCGGGUUGUAAAGCACUUUCAGUUGGGAAGAUAAUGACGUUACCAACAGAAGAAGCACCGGCUAACUCCGUG
rnacentral:rRNA from 1 species